UACGCAAUACUUCACGCAGCUCCUCGUCCUGGGUUAGGUAGGAGCGUCCACCCCGCCCUGUGUAGCAGGUGGUCCUCCCACUAGACAAACUCCACAGCACAGCCCUUUGAUUCACAACCCAGGACGGCGCACCUGACACAGGUACGAGACUCAUUAUUCAACUUAUACACAUCGAUGCUUGAACUAUGCGAGGGAGCUGAUCUUAACAGAAAAAAACCUGACCGCGUUCAACAAAGCCGGACGUUUUGCAUUCGUCGCGACAUUCAAGGCUACAGUUGUGAGGAGACUCAGCGGUACAACUCAUCCUCCGUCGGAGAAACUAAGGAAGCUCCCAGAGGACAAAGUUGAGCUACUUCAGGGUCCUGCCGUUGAAACGCAGCAGCAGGCUCGCUCCGAGGAGAACGACGCAGGAGGAGAAGGAGGAACAGAAGGAGAAUCAAGAGGACGAGUAGGAGG